ensembl:processed_transcript Snhg3 small nucleolar RNA host gene 3
GUGGCGAGCGGGAGCUUAGGGCAUUGCCCGGUGAUGUACAGUCCCUUUCCACAACGUUGGAGAUAAAGCUGGGCUUUCGAGUCUGCGCCUGCAUAUUCCUACGACUUCUCAGAGUCCUGUGGACCAUUACUGAGGAGACAAACCAUGCAGGAAACAGUUUUUUAAGUCAUGCAAUCUGGGGGUGCGUCCGAGUACUCUAAGGGUUUAACUUACUGAUUAAAGUCUUCUCUUGCAGACCCGGUCAAUGAUUUCAGGUACUUUGUUGAUGGAGGAAAGAAGAGAAUCAGCGAGGGCACCUACUGAAUAGUUACUAUAUACAGCCUCGGCCAUUAGAAGCUGGGGCAAGCUUUUCUGCCUAUUUACUCUGGUAAAUACAUUUCUUUUGUCUAGAUUUGAGAACCUUCAGCAUGGUUCUCAUUUUUUGAGGUCCCAACAGGUUUCCCCCAGACCAUAUUAUAUAAACCAUAUAUGUCAUUUUUCUGUUCCCACAUUCUCUGUAAGAUUAUUGUCAUAAGUUAAAAUCUGAAUUAAAGCAUUUGAAUGUC